rnacentral:rRNA from 1 species
UACGAAGGGGGCGAGCGUUUGUUCGGAUUUACUGGGCGUAAAGGGCGCGCAGGCGGCGCAUUUUGUCAGGCGUGAAAGCCCCGGGCUUAACCUGGGAACUGCGUUUGAUACGGAUGGGCUAGAGUUCGGGAGAGGAGAGUGGAAUUCCCAGUGUAGAGGUGAAAUUCGUAGAUAUUAGGAAGAACACCGGUGGCGAAGGCGGCCCACUGGUCCGGUACUGACGCUGAGGUGCGAAAGCGUGGGGAGCAAACAGG